rnacentral:rRNA from 1 species
UACAGAGGGGGCAAGCGUUGUUCGGAAUUACUGGGCGUAAAGGGCGCGUAGGCGGCCUUCUAAGUCGAACGUGAAAUCCCCGGGCUCAACCCGGGAACUGCGUCCGAUACUGGGAGGCUUGAAUCCGGGAGAGGGAUGUGGAAUUCCAGGUGUAGCGGUGAAAUGCGUAGAUAUCUGGAGGAACACCAGAGGCGAAGGCGGCUACCUGGACAAUUGCUGACACUCAGGCACGAAAGCGUGGGGAGCAAAAGGGAUAGAAACCCGGA